GGCGAAGCCCUUCGGGGCAGGGAGACAGGUGGUGCAUGGUUGUCGUCAGCUCGUGUCGUGAGAUGUUGGGUUAAGUCCCGCAACGAGCGCAACCCCUAUUAUUAGUUGCUACCAUUUAGUUGAGCACUCUAAUGAGACUGCCGUGGUUAACGCGGAGGAAGGUGGGGAUGACGUCAAAUCAUCAUGCCCCUUAUGUCUAGGGCUACACACGUGCUACAAUGGGCAGUACAGAGAGAUGCAACCUCGUGAGAGUGAGCUAAACUCUAAAACUGCUCCCAGUUCGGACUGUAGGCUGCAACUCGCCUACAUGAAGCCGGAGUUGCUAGUAAUCGCGAAUCAGCAUGUCGCGCUGAAUACGUUCCCGGGCCUUGUACACACCGCCCGUCACACCAUGAGAGUUAGCAAUACCCGAAGUCCGUGAGGUAACCGCAAGGAGCCAGCGGCCGAAGGUAGGGUUAGCGAUUGGGGUGAAGUCGUAACAAGGUAGCCGUAGGAGAACC
rnacentral:rRNA from 1 species